rnacentral:rRNA from 1 species
UGGGAACCUUCCCUAUGGUUCGGAAUAGCUCAGGGAAACUUGGGGUAACACCGGAUAAGCCCUUACGGGGAAAGAUUUAUCGCCAUUGGAUGGGCCCGCGUCGGAUUAGCUAGUUGGUGAGGUAACGGCUCACCAAGGCGACGAUCCGUAGCUGGUCUGAGAGGAUGAUCAGCCACACUGGGACUGAGACACGACCCAGACUCCUACGGGAGGCAG